AGGAAGAUGAUGAAGAAGCUGGUUUGGUACCUUAUUUUGAUUUUUGUGCUUCUCUUCUCCUUCCAAUUUCCGCCAACAUCAGCUCGGCGACUUGGUGAUCACCCUUAUGUAAAUCCAUCAUCAGAACACAGCGAUUAUCACGAUUAUUGGCCACCCCAUGCCUAAGUGGGCGUACGGGCAGCGAUGGUGAGCUAAAGCUGA